CGUGACCACAUAUAACCAAAGGAAAGAAUUGCAGGGCCCUUGGUGAGCAUGAUGACAAAGCGAUCAUACUUAGAUGGGAGCCCCUUAAGGGCUUGAAUCACCAAGUUUUUGUGGGAGAGUGGAGCAAUUGUUUGUGAAGAAAGAACAUGGAUUGGUAUGAUUUCUUGACGGCAAUGAAAAAAAAAAUCGAGUUUUAGUCCAAUUUCCAUAGCCGCGUAGAGAUGAGCAGAGCAUUCUCCAAGAGCAAGCCAAAUCUUCGGAGAUUUGUUUUGGAACUAUAAGUAUCAUCCAGCCACUUAUCAAGCGAUUCGACAAAAUAAUCUUUGGGUUUGUACAGCAAUCCUGUCUUACAAUCUAUUCAACAAUAUUUAUGGCCAAGAUUGUGCAAGCUCCGAUCAGUUGGAACUGUAAGUAUUAUCCAGCCACUUAUAAACUGAUUCGACAAACUAAUCUUUGGGCUUGUAUAGCUAUCCUGCCUUGGAGUCUAUUCAACAAUAUAUAUGGCCAAGAUUGUGCAAGCUCGAUCAGAGAACAUUGUAAGGAUGCUAUUUUCUAAUUUGGUGCACAGUACCUACUUUUGUUAAGUAACAAAAUCUUUGCAUGCAGGUAUGAGCUGCAUUACCAGAUGACAACAUUUGGAAAGGUAUGAUACUAUUAAGUUCCACGUGUUCUUUCUUCCACCCUUUUUGGCCAAUACAGAUGAAGUAUUCACUUACGGUACUCAUGGCAGUUGAGAGUGAUCAACAGUGUGAAAUUAAUACAGGUUUUCUGUACAAAAAGCAAACCAAAUUGCAAUGCAUGUCCUAUGAGAGGAGAAUGCAGACACUUUGCAAGUGCAAGGCUUGCUUUGCCCGGGCCAGAGGAAAAGAGCAUAGCGAAUGCAAUGGGAAGAAACAUAGCCGGCCAAAACAUUGGCGAGACAUUGCCUCUGUCAUUACCACUGGCAAAGGAGAAUUUAGAACAACAGCAACAAGAAGCAAGGCCCGGUGCAAGUAACUGUCAACCUAUUAUAGAGGAACCUGCAACCCCAGAACCAGACUGCACUCGGAUAGAACAAAAUAACGUGGAGGAUAUGUUUUCAGAUGUUCUCAACGAAAUACCUACAAUCAAACUUAACAUGGAAGAGUUUAUUCAGAAUUUAUAGAAGUACAUGCCAUACAACAUGGACCGCCCAGAAGAUGACAUGUCAAAAGCUUUAGUUGCUUUAACCCCAGAAGCUGCCUCUAUUCAUGUGCCUGAGCUUAAAAAUGUGAGCCGGCUACAGACGGAGCACCUAGUGUAAGUCUAACCGUCUUGACCACUCAAGUUAUUCACAUAUGAUUCUCAUUCUUUGAAUGUAAUAAUGCUUUUCCUGGUGGCGAGACAAUUUAGCAGACGAUGAUACUUGCAUUUUCCAUUUCAGCCCUAUAACCUUUCCAAUUUAAAUCAACUUAUUGCAAAUAAUUGUCAGAUAUACUAUUCCACAAGACCAAGACCAGCCAAGAACACCACAAAAUAAGAGAAAACAGAGAAUAGCCUUAGAUAAAAAUGUCUCGAUUUAUCAACGUGAAAACAGCUGAAGAUGGAAUAAUCCACUCCCACAUCAAUGUGGAAAGAG